rnacentral:rRNA from 1 species
AGUGAACGCUGGCGGUAGGCACAAAACAUGCAAGUCGAACGGCAGCACAGGAGAGCUUGCUCUCUGGGUGGCGAGUGGCGGACGGGUGAGGAAUACAUCGGAAUCUACUCUGUCGUGGGGGAUCACGUAGGGAAACUUACGCUAAUACCGCAUACGACCUACGGGUGAAAGCAGGGGACCUUUGGGCCUUGCGCGAUUGAAUGAGCCGAUGUCGGAUUAGAUAGUUGGCGGGGAAAAGGCCCACCAAUGCGACGAUCCGUAGCUGGUCUGCGAGGAUGAUCAGCCAGACUGGAACUGAGACACGGACCAGACUCCUAAGGGAGGCAGCAGUUGGGAAUAUUGGACAAGGGGCGCAAGCCUGAUCCAGCCAUACCGCGUGGGUGAAGAAGGCCUUCGGGUUGUAAAGCCCUUUUGUUGGGAAAGAAAUCCAGCUGGCUAAUACCCGGUUGGGAUGACGGUACCCAAAGAAUAAGCACCGGCUAACUUCGUGCCAGCCGCCGCGGUAA